UACUCGACGCGGCAUCAGUAGUCAUCACUUGCACUGAUCAUGUCUCCCUUCGUCCUUGUGCAAAGAGAAAUUGGGAAAGAAUUGCUUGGUGUCCGGAGGAGAGCCACGGUACAAGAAGAUGGACAAAAGAUGGGAUGAACCAGUCAGUCAACGGAACAUAAAACGAAGUUAUUGCCUUUGGAUGAUCCUUCUUCAUCGCACGAGACUUGGAGUC